CCACUAUCAUCAGUCACAUAAUUGUCCGCAACAACUCUAAAUGCCGUGUCAGAGAGGUCUGAGAAGUAAUUAAACAAUGGUUCAUACUUUUUCUUCACCAGUUCAUUACCCUUGACUUCUUGACUUUCUCUAACAACUCGUAUGAAUCCUUCAAGUUUUCAGAUUUCCCACCCCUAGUUUUAGAACUUGAUGUCUUCGGAUCACCAGCAGGUCCAUUUGCUACACUUGAUUUUGGUUUCUCAACAGGAAGAGCUGACAGCCUAGAUUCGGCAACUACAUAGACUCUUCCAGUAUACUUGUUACGAACCUUGACAUAGUCAAAAUUUCCAUUAACACAAAGCGCAAGAUUACUAGGAAGCGUCCACGGGGUUGUUGUCCAGGCUACAAAGGAUGCAUUAUGGGGAUCAUCAAUAAUUGGAAAUGCCAUCAUUAUCUCAGGGUCAGGCACAUCCUUAUAAUUUUGACCAGCUUCAAAAUUAGACAGCACAGUUUUGCAACCAGUACUGUAUGGCAUGACCUUGAAACCCUUAUAGACAAGACCCUUCUCAUAAAGCUGAGAGAAAACCCACCAAACACUCUCCAUGAACUUCAAGUCCAUAGUCUUAUAAUCAUUCCUGAAAUCGAUCCACCUCCCCGUCCUUGUGAUCACCUUCUCCCACUCCUCAACAUACCUCGUCACAAUACUCCUACACUCAUCAUUAUACUUAUCAAUCCCCAUUUUCAACACCUCGUCUCUCCUUUUAAUCCCCAAUUUCCUAUCGAUCUCAUUCUCCACAGGCAGACCAUGGCAAUCCCAGCCGAAGCGGCGAGUAACAUGGUGGCCCCUCAUGGUCUGGUAGCGGGUGACAAUGUCCUUAAUAGUUCCGGCGAGUAUGUGGCCGUAGUGAGGGAGGCCGGUGGCAAAAGGAGGACCAUCAUAGAAAAUGUAUUCGGGGAGGGAUUCAGUACGGGCCAAUUGGGUCUCGAAGGCUUUAAUUUCAGACCAGAAAGAAAGGAUCUUUUCCUCCUGGCCGGGGAAGGAAAAGUCCUUUCCCUCGCAGACUUCCUCCAUUGAGCGAUGGAGGGAAAGGAAAUGAGAGAGUAGGGUUUUUGAGAGAGAAGAUGGUGGCGGAAAGAAACGAAGAGCCUGUCCUAUGAGGAAAAGGGUUUAAAGAGUACGGGUUC
rnacentral:misc_RNA from 1 species